rnacentral:lncRNA from 1 species
UCCAGGACACAGAGCUGGUGAAGCACCGAGUCAGGAUAUACCCCAUUAGCUUGUUGAACAAAGUUAUAAAGUCUCCAUCAUCCUCUUCGUUUACUUUUUGUUCAUUUCAUAUUUUUGAUAUCCAAUACUAUAGGUUUCUUUUUUUGGUUGAAUUUUUGAAUAAAUUUCGAGUCGAAUCAAAUCGGAUGAAAGAAGAACUCUUUCGACGUUAUGCAAGUAACUUACCACUCAACUCAAAUGGUGUAUGUGAGAAUAAUAUGAUCAAUUAUAUCUUGAUUUGAAGCAAUUAUAUGUCUUACCCUUCUUCAAUUUUUUUUUGUUAAAUUUUGUUAUUAAUCUUUGUAGUUUGCGAAAGUUAUGAAUUUAAUCAUUAUGUUUUAA